rnacentral:SRP_RNA from 1 species
GUACUAGGUGGGGAGUCAGCGGUGCCCUGUCACCUGCAAUCCGCUACAGCAGGACUGAAUCCCGCGUCCCGGACCUUUCGGUCACAUUAUCGCCCUGUGCCGGAGCGUUGAAGUUUGGGUUUCGUGCAGUUCCGAUCUGUAAACCCCGUCAGGUCCGGGAGGAAGCAGCGGCAGGCAGAAACCGGAGCGUGCCGCGAAGCUGCCUGAACCGAGUGAACGCCGGGGUAUGA